rnacentral:rRNA from 1 species
AGUUUGACCUGCCCAAUGAUCGUUUGAAUGGCUGCAGUAUCCUGACUGUACAAAGGUAGCAUAAUAAUUUGUCUUAUAAUUGAAGAAUGGAAUGAAUGGUUUGACAUGGGUGUGACUGUCUCUUGCAUAUUUAUUAAAAGUUAACUUGCAGGUUAAAAGGCUUGUAUAAAAUUAAAGGACGAGAAGACCCUAUUGAGCUUUAAUAAUGAAUAAAUUUUUAAUUAAAUAUAUAAUAUAAAUAAAUUAAAAUUUUAUAAUUUUUAGUUGGGGCGACUAAAGAACAGUUAAAGCUUCUUUUAAAAGCGAAAAAGUUGUUUUUUGAUCCAUUAUUAUUGAAUUAAGAACAAGCUACCAUAGGGAUAACAGCGUUAUCUUUUUUGAGAGUUCUUAUCGAAAGAAGGGAUUGCGACCUCGAUGUUGGAUUAAGAUAUAAUAAAGGUUGCAGAAGCUUUUAUGUUUAGUCUGUUCGA